GCUCCCAUGGCGUAGAGGUUAUCGCGUUUGCUUUACACGCAAAAGGUCUCCGGUUCGAUCCCGGAUGAGAGCU